UGGUGCGAAAGCUACUUCCUCAGCAGCAGCAAGAGGGGGUGCCUGGAGUAUUUCCUGCUGAACGUCUGACUAAUACCUAUAGAUGCAGAGAAUCUGUUUAAAAAAGAGAGAGAGAGAGCCGGGUGCCUUCGGCUCGGGACAGGAUGGCUUCUAGCUGAGGACGAUUCCUGGCACCACUGCAGCUGUCACUCCUCUCUUCCCCCUUCCCCGCCCGCAGCAGACGUGAUACUAAAGCCGCCUGGGCCAGCUGCCUUAAAUAGAAGCUGCCGGCAUGGAGCAAGAGACAGCGGCCCAGGCCUUGGAGCAGGUGCCAUCAUUGAACAAUGGCCUCCAGCAUCAGGAAGAAACAGGCUCCGCCUUGUCUCUGAACAUUGAGAAAUCUGCUUUGAAAGCCAAUGUUGUUGUACAGAAAGCCAAGGAUUUGACUGCCAGUGACAAAGAAGUGAACUUGAUUAUGACAAAUGUAGUGGCAGAUGGCAGAACUGAGAGGUGGAAUCCAGAGUCAACUGUGUUUGAUGCUGAGACUGCAACACACAUUGGCAAAGUGACAGCUGCAGAUGCCGUUGCUGCUGAAUUUGAUUUCAAGUCAACCCAUUCAGAGACCAAAGAGUUGGAUACAGCCCACAGCAACAGUGAAGCAGGCCAUGACAUGAUGUCCCAAGGUAGGAUUAAGGAUUGGAAUACCACAGCCAGCACACGGAUUUCAGAAGAUACGGGUCAGUUUAACAAAGGCACAGUCCUGGGUCCUAUCACAGGAAUAACAUCAGAGGACACAAAUCUCGAACAGGGCAAACAGGAAGAUGAUGAUGAUGUCAUUUCCCUUGACUGUGAAAUUCUUGGGUUUGGUGGUCCUAAUAUUGAGUUCCUGGGCCCAGAUGCUGAAAUCUAUAUGCAGUUCAUGCGGAGUCAUCGCUGUUAUGAUGCUAUUCCCACCAGUUCCAAACUGGUUGUGUUUGAGACCACUCUGCAGAUUAAAAAGGCAUUCUUGGCCAUGGUGGCUAAUGGGGUACGAGCCGCUCCGCUUUGGGACAGCAAGCAGCAGUGCUUUGUGGGUAUGCUGACCAUCACUGAUUUUAUUAAUAUCUUACAUCGCUAUUAUCGAUCUCCUCUGGUCCAGAUAUAUGAGAUUGAGGGGCACAAAAUUGAAACUUGGAGAGAGGUGUAUUUGCAAGGUUCCUUCAAGCCUUUGGUGCACAUUUCUCCAAACCACAGCCUCUUUGAUGCAGUUUAUUCCUUGAUUAAGAAUAAGAUCCACCGGCUGCCUGUGAUUGAUCCCAUCUCGGGGAACGCCCUGCACAUCCUGACCCACAAGCGUAUCCUCAAAUUUCUGCAUAUCUUUGGAGCCAUGCUUCCAAAGCCACGCUUCCUGCAGAAAAACAUCCAUGAACUGGGCAUUGGUACUUUUCGUGACAUUGCUAUAGUGAUAGACUCAGCUCCUGUCUAUACAGCUCUGGAGAUUUUUGUGGACCGCAGAGUCUCGGCAUUGCCUGUGGUUAAUGAAAAAGGAACGGUGGUUGGCCUCUAUUCCCGCUUUGAUGUGAUUCAUUUGGCUGCUCAGAAGUCUUACAACAACCUGGACAUUAGUGUGGGGGAAGCCCUGAAACAGCGCUCGGUCUGCCUAGAAGGGGUCCUUACAUGCCAUCCCCAUGAAACUCUAGAAGACAUCAUUGAUCGCAUUGUCAAAGAGCAGGUCCAUCGCCUGGUUCUGGUGGAUAAGAAGAACACUCCGCGGGGGAUCGUGUCCCUCUCUGACAUUCUCCAAGCCUUGGUGCUCACACCCGCAGGUAUCGAUGCCCUAAAAUCUUAGCUGGUCGACGCUCCAUCCUUCUUCCAUUUGUACCCUCCAAUUCCUCCACUUCUCUCCAGCUCAGGCAUCGACCGCUAUUCCCUCUGACAGUGUGCAGGACUAUUUGCUACUUGAUCUACUGCUACUGCAUCUAUGGCUUGUGGGGGCCAGGAAGAGAAGCUCUAACAGCGAUGAAGAAGGCCUAGCAUCUCAAGAGCCCUGACUGCCAGUUCCUUCCUCUCAGUGAACCACGAACGUUGAUAGGAGAUCUGAGGAGGACAAGUGCUCUAACCUCAGAAUUGUAAAUGGAGGUGUCACUUCUUCGCCCCAUAAACUAAUAUACAGGAACUAGUCUGCUACAAGUGGUGGGGGGUGGGGGGAAAGGAGAGGUGUGUGUGUCUUGAACAAUGCGUCCAUUGCUUGCCUCCUCUUCUUGGCCUCACUUACUGGAAGAGAUUGUAUUUGAAAAUCCAACGUGCUUCAGGGCCUCUUUUGCUUCAGCUGGGAAAAAGAUUACUAGAGGCCAUGGCUACUGCUUCAGGAUAAAGCCUAAUCCAGAAGGUUAUUUACCUUAGCUGCAGGAGGUGGAUUAAUUCUAAGUUAAAGACAGAUUCCACACCUUGAAAAGGACUAGGAUGAGGUACUUUAGAAAAACCUGCAUGUUUUUUUCUUAGUUCUUAAAGUAGGCUCAUGUCUUAUUUGUUAUUUCAUUGCACUUCCAAGGCACAAGACCAGUUUAGGAUAAUUGUUAUGAGAUAGACAGUUCCCUUAAGUCUAAAGUUUUAGGCCCCUUUUCAAUGUGUUUUGCCCUGUUCUGAAACAUAAUAAUUCUGUCUCAUGAACAGGAGGCAGGGAGAGAUGGUUCUACUGGAAAGAUUCAUUUUCCCCCUUUAAGGCUGCAGUAUAAAUCAGGGCUUUGCUUUUGUGCAACUGUAGCACACAGUAAGAAAGAUUGUGCUAGAAGGGACACAACUUAAUGUUGGAGAGCUUCCCUCUAGGUCAGAAUACAAUGUUUGCACUUAUUGCUAUCACAUUUGGGGAAAAAUCUUUCACACGGAUACCCCUUUUAUAUAAAUCAUACUUCCAUUUUCUAGCAAGUGGCGCUUGGUGAUUUAAGCAAGGACAAAUGGCUGUCUGCCUGGAAUGCUACUACAGGAGAUUUAGCUUUGAUAUAGAUAGUCCUUGACUUAUGACUAAUGGAGCCUGCCAAUUACUGUUGUGAAUCGUGAUGGUUGUAAAAUAGGUCAUCAUGUGACCAACUUGAUUUUACAAUUUUGUUUUUGCACUGGCCAUCAAGCAAACACCAUGGUUGUUAAGUAAACCCAUGGUUCACUAUGGUGCAUUUUUGCUGAAAACUGGAACUAAAUGCUGGUUUUUGGCAAAAACAUCAUAAAUUGUGGCCAUGUGACUGCAGGACACUGCAAAUGCCCAUAAAUAUGGGCCAUUUUCCAAAUGUCCAAAAUAGUUGUAUGACCAUCGGGAGGGCAAUCACCAGAACUUUGGAACUGGGUUGUAAGUAACCCUGAGGAAGUCUGUUGUAACUUCAGUCAUGAUGUGACCAGUUGCAAGUCAAAGAUUACCUGUAAUCCUGAAGGACCCUUUUAAAUCUUCUCCAAUUUAGUACUGUCCCAAUCCACUCCUUUUCCUAAACCAUUUUGGCUUAACCCCUGCUUAUUUCCUAAACUACAGUGAGGCAAGACCAACAAGCCUAAAUCUUACUGCUGGAGGUGUGAGCGCUGCACAGAGGCACUCUUCAAGCAUAUGAGAAGCAGGACUAAACAGCCCUUAAAGCAUUUAGAUGGAGAGAACUUUCUGGCUAAUAAAAGGUGAAAUUAUGAAGGUGUGGACUGGAGUCUAGUUAUCAGUUCAAUACCACUGCUAAGGCACAUUUGGGUCGGCCCUACUCCUAUGGAGAGAGUUGAGCAUGCAAUGAGUGACAAUAGCAACACUCAAGAGUUGUCUAUAAAGAAUAUAUAAAUUGUCUAUAAAGAAUAUAAACUAUGAUUAUUUCAGUCUCCUGGGCAGGUAUGUACCUGCAUAACGUCCAAAAGCCUUUCUUUAAAGGAGAAUAAUCUAUAAAUAAUCCAUAACUGAAGAAUGGCUUCAGUGAACACUUUUUGAGUUCUCCAGACUUCUUUUCGCAUCAUUUGGGGCAAUAGCAGAAAAGCUCUCAUAUAACAACUGUAGUCAUGAGAUUUGAAAUUAGUGGCUUUAUCUUAAUGCCAUACAGUACCUCAAAUUAAUUGCUCUUUCAAGAUUGACAUCCUGGGCUAGCCUGAAGGAUAUGCAUUUAAUCCAAGGCAAAAUUCAGUUUGAAGGUCCUGUCUGAUUUUAGUUUUCAGAAAUGGCUGCUUUAUCCCAUUGUACAUAAGAUGUCCUCUGAUGCUUAUUCCAAUAAGGCCCCUACAAUAAGGUCUAGUUUAGCUCAGUUCUUGGCUAGAUUAAUCCCACAAAAUUUUCAUAUUCCAUAUCAUCAACAAUAUGGAUUUGCCAUGAUAACGUUUUUCCAGUUCCCUAUUUGAUCUGAAGCCCAGUCAUUUCCUGAUGUCCCCAGCUGAGACUUGUGCAAUAAUUGGGAGAUAAUUCUAUUUUCAGAUUGUUUUCCUUAUUCCCUGCUUUUGUAACACAGGAUUAAGAGUACUAGAAAAUCUGAGGACAUAUUAUGCACCCUUGUUGCUCCAAAGAAAAUAUAUUGCUCAACUGUGGAUUUUGAUAUUCUUCCCAGACAUCCCCCAUCGUUCAUGAGCAUUAGCAUUUUUAUUUUUCUACAGCAUAUCCCCUGAAAAGAAAAUCUACUUAUUCUAAAGAGAGUCAAAUGCUUCCUUUUGUCCAAGAUUAGUUGCUAGCACAAAUCUGCAAUAAAACUGAUCUUUCUCUGAAAAAGCUGUGCCUUCAAAAAAUUUCUUGCCUUCAGUUUACAAGGAUCACUAAUUUUUCUCUCUUCAUCCACAUUCCCAACACCAAAUAAUAUUAUCAAAUUCUGCUAUAAAGAUAUGAUAAUAGGACCAAAAUGUACAAAAUUGAGCAUAUUUUUGUUCACCAGAUUCCACCUAUUGAAUCUGCUGAUUGCUAUAAGUAAAUUGAUAAAAAAAACAGAUCUGAACAUCUUCAAUUCACCCACAAAUCCACAAUGGAGAGAU